GCAGAUUCACUCUGCACCUGACUGCAGCUCCAGUCUGGUGCUUUUUCUGUCUGCCAAAGAAACAUUCCAGGGUGCUGUGGCUGCCUCUGCAGGGUGCUGUGGCUGCCUCUGCCUGUUGGGGGUCAUACAGCUACCUGGGGACAUGGUG